rnacentral:tRNA from 1 species
GUGAGUAUAGUUCAAAUGGUAGAACAACGAAUUGUGGCUUCGUGUGUUGAAGGUUCGAGUCCUUCUCCUUACC